CCUACGGGAGGCAGCAGUGAGGAAUAUUGGUCAAUGGGCGCGAGCCUGAACCAGCCAAGUCGCGUGAGGUAGGACGGCCCUACGGGUUGUAAACCUCUUUUGCCGGGGAGCAACGGGCGUCACGUGUGGCGCCACUGAGAGUACUCGGAGAAAAAGCAUCGGCUAACCCCGUGCCAGCAGCCGCGGUAAUACGGAGGAUGCGAGCGUUAUCCGGAUUUUUUGGGUUUAAAGGGGGCUUAGGGGGAUCAUUAAGUCAGUGGUAAAAUUUAGGGGCUAAACCCCAUCCCGCCAUUGAAACUGGCGCUCUUGAGUGGAAGAGAGGUAUGCGGAAUGCGUGGUGUAGCGGUGAAAUGCAUAGAUAUCACGCAGAACCCCGAUUGCGAAGGCAGCAUGCCGGCUUCCGACUGACGCUGAAGCACGAAAGCGUGGGGAUCGAACAGGAUUAGAUACCCGAGUAGUC
rnacentral:rRNA from 1 species